CCCUAUGGGGUGCAGCAGUUAGGAAUAUUUUGCAAUGCGCGCAAGCGUGACAAAUUGAGCCAGAGUGCUUUUCUAUUUGAAAAGCUUUUAUGAAAUGUAAAAAGUUUCACGAAUAAGGACUGGGUAAGACUAGUGCCAGCCGCCGCGGUAAUACUAGCGGUCCAAGUCGCAGCCAUUUUUAUUGGGUCUAAAACAUCCGUAGCUUGCUUUGUAAGUUUCUUGUGAAAUAUUGUAUCUCAAGUACAGUGCGCGCAAGAAGUACUGCAAAGCUAGAGACUGGAAGACGUAAGAAGUACGAAUAAAGUAGCGGUAAAAUGUUUUGAUCUUAUCCGGACUCUCAAUAGCGAAGGCAUCUUACGAGGACAGUUCUGACAGUAAGGGAUGAAGGCUAGGGGCGCAAAACGGAUUAGAUACCCGUGUAGUCCUAGCAGUAAACACUGCACACUAAACAUUAGUACCUCCUCGAGAGGUAUUAGUGCUGUAGGGAAGCCGAAGAGUGUGCUACCUGGGAAGUAUGGUCGCAAGGCUGAAACUUAAAGGAAUUGGCGGGGAGACACUACAACGGGUGACGCGUGCGGUUCAAUCAGAUUAUACACCGUGAACCUCACCAGGACCGACAGCAGGAUGAAGGUCAGUCUAAAGGGCUUACCUGACACGCUGAGAGGAAGUGCAUGGCC
rnacentral:rRNA from 1 species